ACUCCUACGGGAGGCAGCAGUGGGGAAUAUUGCACAAUGGGCGCAAGCCUGAUGCAGCCAUGCCGCGUGUAUGAAGAAGGCCUUCGGGUUGUAAAGUACUUUCAGCAGUGAGGAAGGCGGGUACGUUAAUAGCGUGCUCGUUUGACGUUAGCUGCAGAAGAAGCACCGGCUAACUCCGUGCCAGCAGCCGCGGUAAUACGGAGGGUGCGAGCGUUAAUCGGAAUUACUGGGCGUAAAGCGCAUGCAGGCGGCCUGUUAAGUCAGAUGUGAAAGCCCGGGGCUUAACCUCGGAAUUGCAUUUGAAACUGGCAGGCUAGAGUCUUGUAGAGGGGGGUAGAAUUUCAGGUGUAGCGGUGAAAUGCGUAGAGAUCUGAAGGAAUACCAGUGGCGAAGGCGGCCCCCUGGACAAAGACUGACGCUCAGAUGCGAAAGCGUGGGGAGCAAACAGGAUUAGAUACCCUGGUAGGAUAGCG
rnacentral:rRNA from 1 species